UUGGAAGGGCGGAGGGUCGCUCCCGGGGAAACUCGGGGGAGGAAAGUCCGAGCACCACAGGGCGCGAUGCCACGUAACCGGGCGGCGGCGAAAGCCGCGACGCGUCUGGAUACACGCGGGCAGGGAGGUCGCGAGACCUUCUGACGGACAGUGCCACAGAGAACAUACCGCCAACCGGCGCAAGCCGGCGGUAAGGGUGAAAAGGUGGGGUAAGAGCCCACCGCGCCGAGCGCAAGCAAGGCGGCAUGGAAAACCCCAUCGGGUGCAAGGCCAAAUAGGGGGCAAAUGAGGUGGCCCGCCUCGAGGUUGGAAACAACCAUGCUCCGGGUAAGGUCGCAGCAGAUAAAUGAUCCUCUCCGCACCGCGAGGUGCGCAGACAGAACUCGGCUUACAGCCCUUCCAAAAUC
rnacentral:RNase_P_RNA from 1 species